rnacentral:rRNA from 1 species
UACAGAGGUCUCAAGCGUUGUUCGGAUUCAUUGGGCGUAAAGGGUGCGUAGGUGGCGCGCUAAGUCAGGUGUGAAAUUUCGGAGCUUAACUCCGAAACUGCAUUUGAUACUGGCGUGCUUGAGGACUGGAGAGGAGACUGGAAUUCACGGUGUAGCAGUGAAAUGCGUAGAUAUCGUGAGGAAGACCAGUGGCGAAGGCGGGUCUCUGGACAGUUCCUGACACUGAGGCACGAAGGCCAGGGGGAGCAAACGGG